rnacentral:rRNA from 1 species
CAGCCGCCGCGGUAAUACGUAGGGUGCAAGCGUUAAUCGGAAUUACUGGGCGUAAAGCGUGCGCAGGCGGUUUGUUAAGACAGAUGUGAAAUCCCCGGGCUCAACCUGGGAACUGCAUUUGUGACUGGCAAGCUAGAGUGUGGCAGAGGGGGGUGGAAUUCCGCGUGUAGCAGUGAAAUGCGUAGAUAUGCGGAGGAACACCGAUGGCGAAGGCAGCCCCCUGGGCCAACACUGACGCUCAUGCACGAAAGCGUGGGGAGCAAACAGGAUUAGAUACCCCGGUAGUCCCUGUCUCUUAUAC